AAUUAGCUAAAUAAUCAGAUGAAGUGAGAAGAUCGAGUUGUUUAAUCUUGCGUUUCAUCAUCUAACUGCAUAGUUUCUAAACUGUUAACCACUGCCUGUAAUAUGGAGAUCUGUUUUAUUAAGAUAAAUGUACAACAUUUCAACAUAAUCUAUCGGAGAGCAUUUAGAUGAAUAUAUAACAUGUUAUUGCUGAUACCUACUGAUAGGGAAAUCUCGACAUAUAAGCAAUAAGAUAACUGUCUUGAACAUUUGAUCUCACCAAAGUCUAAAAUUCUCAAUUCCUCCUUUUGAGAUGGCAUGUUGUGAAUUUGAUUCUUUUCCUUGAUCGACAAGACGACAGAUAUGUUUCUUCUGAAUUAGUUGCAAGGUGGCCUUACAUCAGAUUCUCUAGUUUAUGGUGGCUAUCCAAUGAUUUCAUAGUUUAGCAAUUAGCAUGCAGCUAGCGUCAAGCUUAGAGAAAGUCAAGAUAAUCAGAGUUCUUAUUUCGUUCUACUUGAGCUUUUAUGCCUUUAGUUUUAGGUAUGUUCUUCCUGAAUGUACUUUAUGUAUACGAGGCCGACAUACAAAAUCUUUGGUACACAUGACACGCCAUAGGGGUUGUUUAC
rnacentral:lncRNA from 1 species